AACGUACGCUGGCGGCACGCCUAACACAUGCAAGUCGAACGAAGUAGCAAUACUUAGUGGCAGACGGGUGAGUAACAUGUGGGUAUCUGCCCUUUGGCCUGGAAUAACACGAGGAAACUUGUGCUAAUACCGGAUAAGUCUUUACGGAGAAAGCUUUAUGCACCAUUGGAUGAGCCCGCACUUGAUUAGUUUGUUGGUGGGGUAAUGGCCUACCAAGACUGUGAUCAAUAGCUGAUUUGAGAGGAUGAUCAGCCACAUUGGGACUGAGACACGGCCCAAACUCCUACGGGAGGCAGCAGUGGGGAAUCUUGCACAAUGGAGGAAACUCUGAUGCAGCGAUGCCGCGUGAGUGAAGAAGGCCUUUGGGUUGUAAAGCUCUUUCGUCGGGGAAGAAAAUGACUGUACCCGAAUAAGAAGGUCCGGCUAACUUCGUGCCAGCAGCCGCGGUAAUACGAAGGGACCUAGCGUAGUUCGGAAUUACUGGGCUUAAAGAGUUCGUAGGUGGUUGAAAAAGUUAGUGGUGAAAUCCCAGAGCUUAACUCUGGAACUGCCAUUAAAACUUUUCAGCUAGAGUAUGAUAGAGGAAAGCAGAAUUUCUAGUGUAGAGGUGAAAUUCGUAGAUAUUAGAAAGAAUACCAAUUGCGAAGGCAGCUUUCUGGAUCAUUACUGACACUGAGGAACGAAAGCAUGGGUAGCGAAGAGGAUUAGAUACCCUCGUAGUCCAUGCCGUAAACGAUGUGUGUUAGACGUUGGAAAUUUAUUUUCAGUGUCGCAGCGAAAGCGAUAAACACACCGCCUGGGGAGUACGACCGCAAGGUUAAAACUCAAAUGAAUUGACGGGGACCCGCACAAGUAGUGGAGCAUGUGGUUUAAUUCGAAGAUACGCGCAGAACCUUACCAACACUUGACAUGUUCGUCGCGACUCUAAGAGAUUAGAGUUUUCGGUUCGGCCGGACGAAACACAGGUGCUGCAUGGCUGUCGUCAGCUCGUGUCGUGAGAUGUUGGGUUAAGUCCCGCAACGAGCGCAACCCUCACUUUUAGUUGCCAUCAUUAAGUUGGGCACUCUGAAAGAACUGCCAGUGAUAAGCUGGAGGAAGGUGGGGAUGACGUCAAGUCCUCAUGGCCCUUACGUGUUGGGCUACACACGUGCUACAAUGGUAUCUACAACAGGAAGCAAGACUGCGAGGUCAAGCAAAUCCUUAAAAGAUACCUCAGUUCGGAUUGCACUCUGCAACUCGAGUGCAUGAAGCUGGAAUUACUAGUAAUCGUGGAUCAGCGUGCCACGGUGAAUGCGUUCCCGGGUCU
rnacentral:rRNA from 1 species